AACGAACGCUGGCGGCAUGCCUAACACAUGCAAGUCGAGCGAGGACUUCGGUCCUAUCGGCGUACGGGGGUGUAACGCGUGGGAACGUGCCCUUGUCUUCGGCAUAGCCCUGGGAAACUGGUAGUAAUACCGGAUGAGCCCUUUUGGGGGAAGAUUUAUCGGCGCAGGUUCGACCCGCGUUGGAUUAGGUAGUUGUUUGGGUAAUGGCCUCCCAAGCCGACGAUCCAUAGCUGGUUUGAGAGGAUGAUCAGCCACACUGGGACUGAGACACGGCCGGGAAUCCUACGGGAUGCAGCAGUGGGGAAUCUUACAACACGGCGGAAAUCAUGAACUAGCCAGGACGCGUAAGCGAUGAAGGUCUUAGGGUUGUAAAGCUUUUGUAGCUGGGAACAUCUUGACGGUACCAGAAGAGGAAGCCCCGGCUAACUCCGUG
rnacentral:rRNA from 1 species